CAUGACCAUGUUUUAUGUGGUGCGUCAGCCAUCUUGAAAUUCAAAAUGGCAACUGAUGAUGGGAGAAAAAAUGGCACCUAUUUCAAGUUCAGCGCACCAAAAAUGAUAAAGUUAGUCAAUAAAAUUUAUUUUGGCACAUAAAUCUAGCUGGAUUACAUAGCAAACUGUGCUAGUAGCUUACAUACUUAUUCUUGUUUAGUAUAUUUUAAAUAUAUUUUGCAGUUACUUUUAAAACAGAUAAACACCAGUUUUUGCAUAUGUUGAGUGACAGUAGUUAUAUUAUGUCUGGGUUGUUGCCUGUCUAGAAAUUAUGGGUUUAGACACUAAAAUCGUAUCUGCAGCUUAGCUAUGUUUAUUGCUUCUAACAUUCCGCUCCCCUAGCUCAUCUUUUUUCCUGGACUACUACUCAUGGUAAAUGGCAUUAAAAAAAUUGUCUGAUUGUGAUGUAGAUAACUUUACCAGAAACAAAAGUACUGUAAUAUGAAUUUUAAUAUUAAAGAUAAAAUAUAAGUUGUAGACUUCAGAAUUUCAAUUAUUAAUCAUUCAAAAAUGACUUUAAAGAGGGGACAGAAGGUAAUGAUGAUGUACCAUCCUCUGCCACCUUUGAAGAUACAUCUGAACAAUUUUCAAGUGAUGAACAGAAGGCACUGCUAGUGGGAUCAAGUGAAAAGAUUCAAAAAAGUGAGACAUCUGAUUUACCAUCACCUGCCACCCUUGAAGUGAAACCUGAAAGAUUACCAACUGAUGAGCACAAGGCACAGCUAGUGGGAUCAAGUGAAACAAUAAUGGAGACUCAAAAAAGUGACAUGCAUCAUGUGCCAUCCAUUAUGACCUUUAAAGAAUCAUCUGAAAAAUUGUCAAGUGAUGAACACAAGACACAGCUAGUGGGAUCAAGUGAAACUAUAACAGAGAUUCAAAAAAGUGACAUGCCUGAUGUGCCAUCCACUAUGAGCCUUGAAGGAACAUCUGAAGAACUGUCAAGUGAUGAAUACAAGGCUCAGCUAGUGAGACCAAGU